rnacentral:rRNA from 13 species
UUGAGAGUUUGAUCCUGGCUCAGAACGAACGCUGGCGGCAGGCCUAACACAUGCAAGUCGAGCGCACCCUUCGGGGCGAGCGGCGGACGGGUUAGUAACGCGUGGGAAUGUACCCUUCUCUACGGAAUAGCCAUUGGAAACGAUGAGUAAUACCGUAUACGCCCUUCGGGGGAAAGAUUUAUCGGAGAAGGAUCAGCCCGCGUUAGAUUAGAUAGUUGGAGGGGUAAUGGCCUACCAAGUCUACGAUCUAU